UGGGAGAUGCGUUUCUCUGCCACGGUGUCAGUUGUCAUGCCUUAGCGGAGUGCCCGAGGGGAGGGGCAGGAGGCCCCUUGGAUGGGCUGGCACUGCGCCCCUGCUGCUGUCAGAGUGACUCAGAUCCCCUCCUGGCACCAGCCUGCUCAGGCAGUGCAAGCUGUUCCUUUGGCUCCUGGAGAUUGGGCUGGUUCUUCACUUCUUCCUCCCCUAGGACUGAGGCCAGGGAGGAGGGGUGCGGAUUUCUGUGUUUCCACCCUUUUCUCUUCUCCCAGCACAGGGGUGCGAGAGGAGGAAGUGGAGGCUGCAGUGCUGGGCUCUGGGUUCAUUCCCUGUGAUUCCUCUGGGCUGCCCCAAGUCCUGCUCAGCACAUACACAACAGGACACCAGGUGUGCUGGACAAAUGACCAGGCAGUGUGGUACUUGAAUGCAAGGGUUUCCUGAAAAGUUACCAUCAAAAACUGGGUCAGGUGGACGAAUGCAGAUGGAACAUCGGCAGUGAUUUCCUCUGAGUAAUGACGUGCCCUAAGAUUGUUCAGCACAGAGGACUUAAGCCACAGAAGCUUUCAUCUUAUGUGAACCCUUCCUUGGAAUGUCACUUGCUCACAGCCUCAGGAGCCAUCAAUGCUUUCAAAGAGAUAAUAUACAGGGAAAAGAAACGUUGAAAUCAGCCAAGGGAAGAAGCACAUAGUCUAGGAACAAUUCAAAAUGUGGAGAUCCAGCUGGGUGCAGUGGCUCUUGCCUGUAAUCCCAACACUUUGGGAGGCAGAGGUGAGCAGAUCACCUGAGGUCAGGAGUUCCAGACCAGCCUGGCCAACACAGCGAAACCCCAUCUCUACUAAAAACAUACAAAAAUUAGCUGGGUGUGGUGGCAGGCACCAGUAGUCCCUGCUACUCUGGAGGCUGAGGUAGGAGAAUUGCUUGAACCUGGGAGGAGUAGUUUGCAGUGAGCCAAGACCACAGCACUGUACUCUAGCCCGAGUGACAAAGCAAGACUCAGUCUUAAAAAUAAAAUAUGUGAAGACCCCA
rnacentral:lncRNA from 10 species